ACACACACCCAGAAGCAAGCCUGGCUCUGCCGGUCAAUCGUGUGUAAAAUGUCAGCCUGGCCUUCCUAUGCCGGGCUGUUGACGUGCAUUGUUGCUGCCUUGGGAGUCUCUGGUUGACUCAUCUUUUGCCGUAUCCCUUGCACCUGGCUGGAGGGGACGGUGAGCUGUACCUUACAUGUGCCAAGCCUGCCCUGAUGCCAGGCUCUG